rnacentral:rRNA from 2 species
UCCGUAGGUGAACCUGCGGAAGGAUCAUUACAGAGUUCAUGCCCGAAAGGGUAGACCUCCCACCCUUGUGUAUUAUUACUUUGUUGCUUUGGCGAGCUGCUCUUCGGGGCCUUGUAUGCUCGCCAGAGAAUAUCAAAACUCUUUUUAUUAAUGUCGUCUGAGUACUAUAUAAUAGUUAAAACUUUCAACAACGGAUCUCUUGGUUCUGGCAUCGAUGAAGAACGCAGCGAAAUGCGAUAAGUAAUGUGAAUUGCAGAAUUCAGUGAAUCAUCGAAUCUUUGAACGCACAUUGCGCCCCUUGGUAUUCCGGGGGGCAUGCCUGUUCGAGCGUCAUUUCAACCCUCAAGCUCAGCUUGGUAUUGAGUCCAUGUCAGUAAUGGCAGGCUCUAAAAUCAGUGGCGGCGCCGCUGGGUCCUGAACGUAGUAAUAUCUCUCGUUACAGGUUCUCGGUGUGCUUCUGCCAAAACCCAAAUUUUCUAUGGUUGACCUCGGAUCAGGUAGGGAUACCCGCUGAACUUAAGCAUAUCAAUAAGCGGAGGA